CCAUAUGAAGUUUGAAGAGAAGUGGUUUUCAACAUGUUGAUCAUGACCCAUUUGGUACCACAUAUCAGAUAUCCUGCAUAUCAGGUAUUUACAUUAAGAUCCAUAACAAUAGCAGAAUUGUAGUUAUUGCAGAAUAGCAGCAAUAAAAUCAUUUAAUCAUUAGGGGUUACCACAACAUGAGGAACUGUAUUAGGAGUCACAGCAUUAGGAAGGUUGAGAACUGCUAGUCUAGAGUAUUCCAGAGUAUGUUUGUGUAUUCCUGGGAUUGGUUUUGAAUCUGAAAAUCAAUAAAAUUGUGAUAUUUCAGAUCUAUAGUUGCUUCAAGAAAAAUAGCUUUAUUUUAACUGUCUUUAAAUCACAAGUUUUCACAUAAGAUUAAUUUUAAAAAUCUGAAAGUUGAUCCCAUACAUUGUUUCAGAGGAACUAAGAGGAAAAAAUUAAAAUCCUAUCAAUGUUUUUCUUAAAAUUACCUCUGUCUGUUUGGCUUCCAAUCACCAAAUUAUGCCUUCCAUAUUCAGGCCCUGCCUAUUUUGUGAAUUAGACAGAAUUAUGUAGUCGUUAAUCACAUGGCAAAUAGCAAACACACUGACUGUACUAGAACCUUGGUAAUAAAAGAAAUGAACGCUUCAUACGUUUAUUAACAAUGUGAUACUGAGAAGUUUAUCCUCUUCUAUGAGCAUCAAGUCUCUUCACUGUGCACUAGAAAUCAUAGUGAUACAUUUGUCCAAGGGCUGCUUUAAGGGUUAGAUAAGCAUGAAACAGAUGUUUCUGAGGCAUGCCAAGUAAUUGAUAGCUGUUCUUUACAAUGAUUAACUGUUUACCUCUACCACUUAACUUCUGGUGCCAUCUUCAAUAUUGCAGAAUCCCUCAUCUAAGACAUGAAGGAGAAGCUAUCUUUAAUAAACGUCAGCACAUUUGCUUCAGACAUUACAUUAUUGUCUUUACUCUCUACUCAAAUGAUGUGUAGCUUAAUGUGCAUCAUUUAGAAGUGUGAUUUGUUGUUUCUGUUAGCGGGUGUGUUUUGUAGCUGGUGACUCAGGUAAUAAUGAGGUUGGGGACUCUUACAGAAGAAUUGGGGGAAGGAUUGAAGGCCCUAAAGGGGAAGGGAACAACUAACCCUAACCUCUGGGAACUCUCAAAACGGAGCUACCAACCAAAGAACAUACAUAAGCUGGGAAAAAGUCCCCAACACAUAUGUAGCAGAUAUGCUCAUUCUCCAUGGCUACUUUGUCUGGCCUCAGUGGGAGAGGAUUGCCUAGUGUGGCAGCGACUUGAUGCACCAGGGUUGGUGGAUACCCAUGGUAGACUCAUCCUCUCAGAGGAGAGGAGGAGAGGAGAUUGAGAGAGGGGUUCUGGGAAGAGGGACUAGAAGGGAAACAGCAUUUGGGAUGUAAAUAAAUAAAUAAACAAAUAAGUAUAAUGACUUUUCUGAACUUUUGUUUUUCUGUACUUCUGAUGAGAGUGUGUUUCUUUAUUAUGAUUCCACUCCUCUUUGAUUUCAUAAUAUAUUAAUAAGCAUUAUGUAGACAUAUAGACAGCAGAGACUUCAUGGUACACUCAACUUCCAGAGCACAUGUCCCUGUAUUGCAGUUGGUCUGUUGGCAUUGUAACAACACCAUCCUGCAGUUAUUUUCAGUUCCUUUUUAUAGACACAUUCUUCUCUUGGAAGCAUGGACCUCCACACAAAUUUUGUUAGGAUUAAGUCACAUCUCUGCAAAUUUAUCAUCAAUUUAGUGGAAGUUCUCUACCCAAGAGAAUACCCCAUUGAUGUCUUAGCCAAUAUCCACUAAGCCUUCAAGAAGGCUUUCACUAUGUAAAGGAAUGAAGACUCCUUAUUUUUUUAAUGUUUUGGUCUUUUCCCAGCAUUCUUGUAUGUGUGAGAUAUGUCAUGAUGGACUUCUGUUUAAAAAAUGAUAAACUUUAUAGAAACACUCCUUUUACAUUUUGUUUGUAAAUAUUUGAUGAAAUUGAUGGAAACAAACUAUGAUGUUAUUUCACAGACCAGGCUAAGUUUUCAUGCUUACCAAAUCAUCAGAAAAAUAAGGAUUGUUUUCCCUGAUGGGAAAUUAUGUGUCCUAGGUUUACCUCGAUCUGAUUAGACAGCUGAGGAUGACUUUCAUUGCCUGAUGCACCUGCCUCUAGCUUCCAAAUGCCAGAGUUACAGGUGACAAGUAUCUUUGAAUCUAGCUCUUAGUAGUGUAAAUUACUUGAGUUUUCCCCAAGAAACAAAUGUUUCUGCAUGGAAAAAAAAUGAAGAAAUUAUCUUCCUAAAUAAUUCAGGAGAAAUGUCAAGAGGAAUAGAAUUUCUCAGUUGAGAAGCUUCAGACAAAAUGUUAUAAAGUGAGAAGUUGUUGGAGAUGGCAAGGAGGAGUUUGCAAGACGACAACUCCAAUAAGCUCUAUGCACGCAGCCUGAGGACAUUCAUCAUGCAAGCAAAUUCAGUGAUGGCAGUCUCCUUGUUAGAGGAUUCUUUACGGCUUUAUAUUUUGAGCUCCAAUCCACUUGGUAAAUGACCUAACCUUUAAGUGGCAAGAAGUGAUGCUUGUUUUACUUUAGAUGGAUGCUUCCCAGGAGAAAAUCACAUAGAGAAGAGUUUGUUUAUAUGGUGGAUUAUGUUGAUGGAUUUUUCACAUAUUGAAGAAUCCCUGCAUUCCUGAGAUGAAGCCUUCUUGAUCACAGAUGUUUUAAUGUGUUCUUGGAUUCAUUUUCCAUCUUAAUGUACUUGGAUAUUCCUGAUGUAAAAGAUAUUGUGAGGGAAAUCUUACUUCAAUGUCCCUGUUACAGCAGGCCUCUGAGCCUUACUGAUUCGGAUGAGGAUGCUUGCAGUCUACCAUCGAUUGGGCUGAGCACAGGAUCCCCAGUGGAGUAGUUAGAUAAAAGACCUAAGGAGCUGAAGUGGUUUGCAACCUGGAUGGGAACACCCUUCAGAAGAAGGAGAGAGGGAUAGGAUAGGGUGCUGAUGUCCGGGAAACCGGGAAAGGGAAUAAGAUUUGAAAUGGAAAUAAAAGAAAUCCAAUAAAAGAAAAAAAAUAAC